UACCCACGACAGGGGAGCGCUGCAGCGCUGAGAGUGCGGGACAUGCCCGCAGACCCUCGAACCUGAUCCGGGUAAUGCCGGCGCAGGAAGUCGAAACCUCGACCGC
rnacentral:ncRNA from 1 species